AAACUUGCAUUCCUAGUAGCAUAUGGAACUGUUGUAGGAGCAUCCAGUCAAGCAUAUUGUUUUUUACUCUAGGCAAAAAGGAAUAGGCAUUAGGUCUAUUAACUGGUGUGAACGUUUUAGUGUUGCAAUACAUAUAGAUACCUGUCAAAUAUAUACAUGCGUGAAAGGUGUAGCAUUUGCUACAUGACAACAGACAAAAAAGAGAAGUUACAUGUUUAAAUUUCACAAACUG
rnacentral:misc_RNA from 1 species